AUUCGUAAACAAAAUUAUUAAUGUUAAUUUUUAGAGUUAAUUUAUUAUUUCUUUACAAUUAAGAAGUAUAAAAUGAAAGUAUAUUAAACAAUAAACAUGUCAUUAAAAAUACCAUAAUUUAAUUUACAAAAUGUAGAUAGUUAUAAAUCAUGAUUUAGUCUUGAAGAAGUGUCUUGCAAAAUUUAUAAACUUCAUCAAAUUAAACACACAAUAUCAAAACACAUAGCCAAAAUUAUCAAAAAGUACAAUCAUCAACCACCGUCAACCACGGGUAAUACAAUUUUCAAUCAAGUUAAAUGGCAAACACACUAGAAAAAAAUAAACCUGAACAAUAAGGGAAAUAAAAACUAUACAAAGCAUGUGAAAGGCAAACUUGCGAAUUAAAAAUAUAAGACAAAACAAUACUGAAUAGAUUAAAAAGUGGACAUAUCAGAAAAAGUAAUAACACAGGUUUUUUUAAUAGAAAAAGAAUAUAGACCAAUAUGUGAAACCAAUGGAAUAACCCUUACUAUCAAACACAUACUGAAGAAUACCGCAAGUACAUGGAGAAAUUUCACAAAUGUAAUAUACCUAGCACCUUGGAUACAAACCUGGAACCGGAUUCAAAACAACAACCAGAAUAAAACGUUCCAUGAACUUUGCACCGUGUUGGCGAUAAGCUAACGCUCGACCGAACACUACUGCAUAUGCGAGGCUGCUCAGCAUAUUAUAUUAGAAUCAAAUGAAACGAAAAAACCUCUCUUAUCUGAGAAGGCCUACGCGAACCUUUGACACGGUUAUCUCGAAGCUCGUUAAAAAUCCAUUGAAUUGCUUCAUCGUUCGGAUAAACAAAACGUCACUCAACGUGAGUAUUGAAUUAUCCGGGAAAAAAAUUUAAGAAUUAAACGCACACAAAUAUUUAAAAAAAAAAUAAAAUAAUAACUUCGAUGAGACUUGCCUUUGCUUCAUCACAUGGCAGAGCCCAUGGUAGACAAAUUACAGGCAGAAGAGAAAAGUCACUGAUGUACCUGGUUACGCGAAAACCGCAAUACACACGGCAAAACCGAGCGAGCAAACUAACACGACUUUUUGUUCAACAAAAUAUACAAACCAAAUAAUAAACGUUAUUAUUUAUCUUAUCGUUAAGUGCAUGUGUGUCGGAGGAUAAGGCUCUUUUUUUUAUUAAUAUUAUGGGCGGCUCCGACUGAUACGACGAGGCAUAUGGAACGUCAUGAUUACACGCUAUCAAGUUGAUGAUAACGCACCAAUGCUAAGGUCUGUGGCCAAAACAUCGUCACCAAACGGUCGGUCACUCAAGUUUUGCUUGAACCCGGUUAGUGGUCAGUGAACUUGUUGAGAUGGAAUCUCGAGGAUAUUAACAGAAGUCAUUAAGGCAGACAUUCCCUCUAAUGGCCAACCUUGACUUUGAAAUCGGUCAACUCGGCUAAGUAGGUAUUUAAAACUAUAGUCUAAUACUCUAAUGUCUAUAGCGUUACAGACGAAAAUUAUCCAACGUAAACUACCCUAAAUACAAACCAGGUUUUAUGUUUCCGUAAAUGUAUCAUAAUUCGUAUAAUCUACAAUAGACUAAGCUCAAUAAAAAUCCAACGAAUAAAUAAAAUACUUCUAGUAAGUAGGUAGAUAGGUAUAUUAUUAUUUACAUUGUUCACAAACUUAGAAUUCCUCACGAUUCCUAGUGACUUUACGUAAUGAAUUGUUAUUAUACUAUUAAAACUAAAAUAAAUCAUAUUAUACUCGAAUACUCGAUUAAGUGUACAAAUAUCAUGGGGCCUCUCUUUGGGGCAGAACGUAAAAAAUAACAUAAAUCGAAUGCAUAAUAUGAAAUAAUAUUAUGUAAUAAUGUAUAUAAAUUCGAGGCCACAGGGUAUACAAAACAGUUACACAUUUUUGGGAAAUAUUUUUCAAAUUACAUUUCAUUGUUCACUUCAAUGACAUUUGUAUUAAAUUUGAAAAAUUUGUAUUCAAAAACAAUUAAUUAGCUGCCAAGCAAAUUUAAUAAGUUCUUUUACUUUUUAGUCAAUAACUUUAUUUUAAUUCUUCCUACUGGAUAAUUAUAUAGUUUUUAAUAAACAUUAAUAAACAAUAAUAAUAUAAUAUUGCUGCCGUAUUAGAAUAGUACCAACAAAAUAUUAAUACUUUCUCCCUUACAUACACAUAAUUAAAGAUAAAGUAAAAACUUAGUUUAUUAUUUUCUGUGAAAUUGUAGAUGAACAAACAAUACAUUUUUUAAAUGUAUUUAAACACCGCCCUUGUGUGACUUGGAAAAUCAUUAUAUUUUGACGUUUUGAAACAUUAGUUUAACACUGUCGUGUACACAGUGAAUAAUAAAGCGAUGAAAUAAAAAAGCGCCGGUAUAGGUAUUAUGUUUUAAUGGUAUUACCAUGGGUCGGUUAAAGGCUAACAGUAAUCGGGCCUAAGAGCUGAGAGGAUUCCGACAUAAUAUCCGAUCGCAAGCCAAUUUUAAGGUAUAGUCACGUAUUUAAAACAUAAUAGUAAAAACUAAAAAUAUAAACGCAAGUUCGGUAAAACGGCUGUACAAAUUACUUCACCAGAAUCUAGAGUGUCGGUGAAAAAUUAAUAACAAAUGUGAAUUUUGCCAAAAUAAAAAUAUUAAUCGUCCAACGUCACAUUAAGACAAGUCGAGUUAACAAAACAAUAGCAACAGCCAACACGAUUAUAUUAUAGGUAGUUAUAAUAUGUUAUAGUAGAUAUAAAAACAACGUCUGUG